GACGAACGCUGGCGGCGUGCCUAACACAUGCAAGUCGAACGGUGAAGGGGCCUGCUUUUGUGGGCCCUGGAUGAGUGGCGAACGGGUGAGUAACACGUGAGUAACCUGCCCCCUUCUUCUGGAUAACCGCAUGAAAGUGUGGCUAAUACGGGAUAUUCUGGGUCUGUCGCAUGAUGGGUCUGGGAAAGAUUGCGCCUUUGGGUGUUUUUGGUGGGGGAUGGGCUCGCGGCCUAUCAGCUUGUUGGUGGGGUGAUGGCCUACCAAGGCGGUGACGGGUAGCCGGCCUGAGAGGGUGGACGGUCACACUGGGACUGAGACACGGCCCAGACUGCUACGGGAGGCAGCAGUGGGGAAUAUUGCACAAUGGGCGCAAGCCUGAUGCAGCGACGCCGCGUGAGGGAUGGAGGCCUUCGGGUUGUAAACCUCUUUCGCCAGUGAAGCAGGCCUGCUCCUUGUGGGUGGGUUGACGGUAGCUGGAUAAGAAGCGCCGGCUAACUACGUG
rnacentral:rRNA from 1 species